AUGAUGGUAGAGAUGGUAGGGAUGUUAGGGAUGUUUGAUGGUAGGGAUGGUAGGGAUGGUAUGGACAGUAGGGAUGGUAUGGAUACUAGGGAUAGUAGGGAUGGUAGUGAUGUUUGAUGGUAGGGAUGGUAGGGUUGGUAGAGAUGGUAGGGAUGUUUGAUGGUAGGGAUGGUAUGGACAGUAGGGAUGGUAUGGAUGGUAGGGGUUCUAGUGAUGGUAGAGCUUGUAGUGAUGGUAGUGAUGGUAGGGAUGGUAGGAAUGGUAGGGAUGGUAGUGAUGGUAGGGAUGGUAGUGAUGGUAGGGAUGGUAGGGAUGGUAGGAAUGGUAGUGAUGGUAGGGGUGGUAGUGAUGGUAGGGAUGGUAGUGAUGGUAGGGCUGGUAGGAAUGGUAGGGAUGGUAGUGAUGGUAGUGAUAGUAGGGAUGGUAGUAAUUGUAGGGAUGGUAGUAAUUGUAGGUAUGGUAGUGAUGGUAGUGAUGGUAGGGAUGGUAGUGAUGGUAGGGCUUGUAGUGAUGGUAGUGCUUGUAGUGAUGGUAGGGAUGGUAGUGAUGGUAGUGCUGGUAGGGCUUGAAGUGAUGGUAGGGCUUGUAGUGAUGGUAGGGCUUGUAGUGAUGGUAGGGAUGAUAGUGAUGGUAGAGCUUGUAGUGAUGGUAGGGCUUGUAGUGUCUGUAGGGAUGGUAGUGAUGGUAGGGCUGGUAGUUAUGGUAGGGCUUGUAGUGAUGGUAAUGAUGGUAGGGCUGGUAGUGAUGUAUGAUGGUAGGGGUGGUAUGGAUGGUAGUGAUGUAUGAUGGUAGGGGUGUAUGAUGGGAGUCAUGGUAGGGAGGUAUGUUGGGAGGGAUGGUAGGGGUGUAUGAUGGUAGGGGUGUAUGAUGGGAG
rnacentral:lncRNA from 1 species